UCUAGCUUGCUAGAUUGAUGGCGAGUGGCGANCNGNNGNGNAAUACAUCGGAACGUGCCCUGUAGUGGGGGAUAACUAGUCGAAAGAUUAGCUAAUACCGCAUACGACCUGAGGGUGAAAGUGGGGGACCGCAAGGCCUCAUGCUAUAGGAGCGGCCGAUGUCUGAUUAGCUAGUUGGUGGGGUAAAGGCCCACCAAGGCGACGAUCAGUAGCUGGUCUGAGAGGACGAUCAGCCACACUGGGACUGAGACACGGCCCAGACUCCUACGGGAGGCAGCAGUGGGGAAUUUUGGACAAUGGGCGAAAGCCUGAUCCAGCAAUGCCGCGUGUGUGAAGAAGGCCUUCGGGUUGUAAAGCACUUUUGUCCGGAAAGAAAUGGCUCUGGUUAAUACCUGGGGUCGAUGACGGUACCGGAAGAAUAAGGACCGGCUAACUACGUGCCAGCAGCCGCGGUAAUACGUAGGGUCCAAGCGUUAAUCGGAAUUACUGGGCGUAAAGCGUGCGCAGGCGGUUGUGCAAGACCGAUGUGAAAUCCCCGAGCUUAACUUGGGAAUUGCAUUGGUGACUGCACGGCUAGAGUGUGUCAGAGGGGGGUAGAAUUCCACGU
rnacentral:rRNA from 1 species